UACGAAGGGGACUAGCGUUGUUCGGAAUUACUGGGCGUAAAGCGCGCGUAGGCGGAUCGCUAAGUCAGGGGUGAAAUCCCAGGGCUCAACCCUGGACAGGCGGUGGAAACUGCCAAGCUGGAGUACGGUAGGGGCAGAGGGAAUUUCCGGUGGAGCGGUGAAAUGCGUAGAGAUCGGAAAGAACACCAACGGCGAAAGCACUCUGCUGGGCCGACACUGACACUGAGAGACGAAAGCUAGGGGAGCGAAUGGG
rnacentral:rRNA from 1 species